rnacentral:tRNA from 1 species
GGGCCUGUGGCGCAACGGUAGCGCGUUCGACUCCAGAUCGAAAGGUUAUCGGUUCAAAUCCGGUCGGGCUCA